ensembl:lncRNA
AUGUAGUCGAGUACAAACAGUCUACUCUCAUUGCAGUCUUUGGAAGUUAAUUCUGACUGAUAUACUGUUAUCUUCCACAGCAUGACAUAACACAUCUCAGGACGUGGUAGUGCUCCACUUUGUUGGAGAAUCUUCAUACUGAAGGGUAUAGUUCUUCUGAAACAGAUGUGCUAUGAAUUCCAAUAUUAACACAACCGUAACAAUGACCUGUAAAAAUAUUUGCGUGUGUGUGUCUGUGUGUGUGUGUGUGUGUGUGUGUGUGUGUGUGUGUGUGUGUGUGUGUGUGUGUGUGUGUGUGUGUGUGUGUGUGUGUGUGUUUGUUUUGUGAGUUUUGUAAUUUAGACCUCACUUGACCUCGCUCAGAGGUCCACGGUGCAAUGUUUUUUUUCACCACUGGGAUGCUGACGGCGUUACCCGCCUUAAAUUGGCCCUCAGCUGUCAAAACUUUGAGAACCCCUGUUGUAGACCAACUUCGGAAAACUGUAGUUCUACCAUAGAAACGCUAGAGGUCAGCAAUACUCCCCGUCGCGCAAUGACGUCGGUUAGGAAAAGUGGAGUCGAAUUCAUUUUAAACAGCGCUGUCUUUUCCUGUUUUAAAGGAAGCACAUUUCCAUCUCUCCUUGACCCGAUGACGUUUUCCACAAAGGUUAAGUAAAGGAUAGGAGAUUUGACUAUUCGUAGAGGAAUAGGGACACAGCUAAGGAGUCUCACCCAUAGAUAUAUAUAUUAACUAGAUGCUUCGUCCGCGCUGCUGGCCAAUGGAGUCGAACGUCACCACUGGCGGCCAUCUUACCACAGUAAGCUGCUCAGCCAUAACAUUGUGUUGGUAGUGGUACAUGUACUUUUUAAACAACCAUAACUUAACCAUUUUCAACCGAUUUUCAAACGGUUUGGUUUGUUAUAAUCGUCAGAGAUGUAGUUAUGACACUGAAUACUUUUGAUAGAAUAAUGAAAAAUAGAAUAAUGUUCUAAAAUAGGUACAAUAUCAUAACCACGUUAAUAACGUUUGUAAUAAACCAAACCGUUAUGGUUAAGUUAUGGUUAUUUAAAAAGUACAUGUACCACUACAAACACAAUGGUUGUGUUCGAAACCACCUACUUAUGGCAAGCCGAAUUGUCAUUUAUUAACUCAGUUUGACUAUCCGGAAUUUACAUUGCAGAUAUCUGCAAUUCAGUUUCGCCUAGUCAAAACUAACAUUUCGGAUAUCCGCAACUACAUUCCUCCUAUCCGCAAUUGUCAUUUCAGAUAUCCACAAAGACAUUCCUCCUAGGCGAAAUGACGUCAUUUUCGCCAUUCAUGUCUAUGGGGUUUCUCAUUGCGGAUAUCUACAAUUCAGUUGCGGAUAUCCACUUUGUGAAUUACGGAUAUCUGCAACUGAAUUGUAGAUAUCUGUAAUUCCAGUUUGAGAUAUCUACAAUUUGAUUCUGACUAGUCAUAAUUCCAGUUCAAGAUAUCUUUAAUUCACCUCAAUUCAAGAUAUCUACAUGUCCCUUUUCAGAUAUCUUAAAUUAAGUUUUGACUAGGCGAAAUUAAGUUGUAGAUAUCUCUAACUGGAGUUACGACUAGUCAAAAUGACGUUGUAGAUAUCUCUAACUGGAGUUACGACUAGGCGAAAUGACGUUGUAGAUAUCUAAUAUCAAGUUAUAGAUAUCUUGAAAGGAAUUUUGAUUAGAGAUAUCUACAAUUGUAGAUAUCUUUAACUUUCAUUCUGCCUAGGCGAAACUGAAUUAAAGAUAUCUUGAAU